rnacentral:rRNA from 1 species
AUUGAACGCUGGCGGCAGGCCUAACACAUGCAAGUCGAGCGGAGCGGCGUACGGGUGAGUAAUGCCUAGGAAUCUGCCUGGUAGUGGGGGAUAACGUACGGAAACGGGCGCUAAUACCGCAUACUAGCAGAUUAGCCUAGGUCGGGUUAGCUAGUUGGUGGGGUAAAGGCCUACCAAGGCGACGAUCCGUAACUGGUCUGAGAGGAUGAUCAGUCACAAUGGAACUGAGACACGGUCCAGACUCCUACGGGAGGAAGCAGUGGGGAAUAUUGGACAAUGGGCGAAAGCCUGAUCCAGCCAUGCCGCGUGUGUGAAGAAGGUCUUCGGGUUGUAAAGUCCUUUAAGUUGGGAGGCGUUACCAACAGAAUAAGCACCGGCUAACUACGUGCCAGCAGCCGCGGUAAUAC